rnacentral:rRNA from 1 species
GACGAACGCUGGCGGCGUGCCUAAUACAUGCAAGUCGAACGCACAGUUUAUACCGUAGCUUGCUACACCAUAAACUGUGAGUUGCGAACGGGUGAGUAACGCGUAGGUAACCUGCCUGGUAGCGGGGGAUAACUCUUGGAAACGAUAGCUAAUACCGCAUAAUAUUGAUUAUUGCAUGAUAAUUGAUUGAAAGAUGCUAUUGCAUCACUACCAGAUGGACCUGCGUUGUAUUAGCUAGUAGGUGAGGUAACGGCUCACCUAGGCGACGAUACAUAGCCGACCUGAGAGGGUGAUCGGCCACACUGGGACUGAGACACGGCCCAGACUCCUACGGGAGGCAGCAGUAGGGAAUCUUCGGCAAUGGACGAAAGUCUGACCGAGCAACGCCGCGUGAGUGAAGAAGGUUUUCGGAUCGUAAAGCUCUGUUGUAAGAGAAGAACGGGUGUGAGAGUGGAAAGUUCACACUGUGACGGUAGCUUACCAGAAAGGGACGGCUAACUACGUG